GCUUCCGGCUCGGCAGCCAAUCCGUGGGCGUGUGCCGCCAUAAAAGUGCAGGGGGCGGGCCGGUGGGCUCGUUGCUGGCUUUUGAAUCGGGUUCCGGAGAGUGUGCGGGCGCCAUGUCCGGCCGCGAAGGUGGCAAGAAAAAGCCCUUGAAGCAGCCCAAGAAACAGGCCAAGGAGAUGGACGAGGAAGACAGAGCGUUCAAACAGAAGCAAAAAGAGGAGCAGAAGAAACUUGAGGAGCUGAAAACGAAGGCCGCGGGAAAGGGUCCCCUGGCCACAGGUGGAAUUAAGAAAUCUGGGAAAAAAUAAACUUCCUUGUGCCUAAAACGAUGCUGACCCUGGAUUCCAUUCCUGUUCCGUUAUCUGAAUUCCCUUCCAUAACAUCUUUUUACACCCAUAAUUAGAUUGAAGUGUGUUCUUGGAGUCUGUUGUACAUUUAAGAAUAAAAUUUUGUAAAAAAAAACAAAAACAAAAACAAAAAAUCAUACAGUGGCUUAUUGUCUCUAGUUUUCAUUCAGCCAUUUCUACCUCAGCUGUGAAUGUAACAUAUACCCAGCCUGUAAUUCUGCCAUAGUGUGCUCUUGAAUCUUUAUUCUGCUUCGAAUUCUGUAUCAUCUGGAAUUAAACUAACUUAUGAAAGGC